CCCUUAGAUGUUCUGAACCGCACGCGUGUUACACUGAUGCAUUCAACGAGCUUUACCUUGGCCGAGAGGCCUGGGAAAUCUUUUUAGCAUGCAUCGUGAUAGGGAUUGAUUAUUGCAAUUAUUAAUCAUGAACGAGGAAUUCCUAGUAAACGCAUUUCAUCAAAAUGCAUUGAUUACGUCCCUGCCCUUUGUACACACCGCCCGUCGCACCUACCGAUUGAAUGGUCCGGUGAAAUCUCGGGACGGCGGCUUGGUCGCUUGCGUCCGACUGCUGAAACUUGAUUAAACCAUAUCAUUUAGAGGAAGGUGAAGUCGUAACA
rnacentral:rRNA from 1 species